rnacentral:pre_miRNA from 1 species
AGGCAAGAUGUAGGCACGUAGGCAGUCAGGCCUCCAGUAGACACUUGCGAAAUAUGC